GUGCUUGCUUCAGCAGCACAGAAACUAAAACUGGAAUGAUACAAAGAAGAUUAGCAUGGCCUCUUUGUAAGGAUGACAUGCAAAUUCAUGAAGUGUUCCAUAUUUUU
rnacentral:snRNA from 1 species